GUCACUGAGUGAAACUGAUUGGUCCAUAGACAGGGAUGGUUUGGGCAUAUAAUUCCAUUCACAUCUAAACCAGUCAUUUAAUUAAAUUACGGUGUCUUCGUUUUUAGAUGUAUUUUACAUAAAUAAAUUAAAUCGUGAUCUCAGUAUUUGAGCAUUAGAUGAAAAAAAAACUCAACAUUCGUAAUCAGAAGAGAGUCUAGUAAACUGAACAGCUUUGACAUAGCGUUGAAGCCGUUUAGAUAUCUGUGAGAAGGGCGGGUUACACAGGUUGACGUAGACAGGCAGGCGUCGCUGCAGAGAAUGUUUAAGUGACAUACCGCAAGGUUUAUGAACAACCGUUGGCCGGAAGUUUGUAUCCUCCAUUAAAAAAGAUAUUAUCUGGCGUAUAAUAGUUAAAAGUGUAAAAAGUGAAGUGCAAAUUGUUGGUUUCUUACUUCCUAACCUAAUUUAUUGUACGUUAUUUGAAAGCAAAAUGCUGAAGUUCAUCAGAGGGAAAGGCCAGCAGCCAUCAGCUGAAAGACAGAAGUUACAGAGAGAGCUAUUUGCUUUUAGAAAGACUAUACAGCAUGGUUUCCCAAACAAACCAACAUCACUUGCAUGGGAUCCAACCCUUCAUCUGUUGGCGCUGGGAACUGCUUCUGGAGCCAUUAAAGUUUUUGGCAAGCCCGGUGUUGAAUUCUAUGGACAACACACAAACCACGAGGCUGCAGUCACAAGGCUUGUGUUCAUACCAAAUGAGGGCCGCAUUGUGUCCCUGUGUGACGAUAACUCUCUCCACAUGUGGGAAAUAAAUGAAGGUUCCUUGGAAGAAGUCAAAGCUCAAGCAUUGGAAGGGAAGCUGAAGAGGAUUUCUGCAAUUGCUCUUGAAACUGCAGGUGAACAUCUGCUAUUGGGGACUGAGGGUGGAAAUAUUUACCUCCUUAAUCUGAAGACUUUCCAAAUGUCAGAUACAAUCAUAUAUCAAGAUAUUGUAAUGCAGAACGUUCCUGAAGAUUACAAGAUAAACCCUGGUGCUGUGGAAGCUAUUGCUGAACAGCCUGGAAAUCCUGACAAAAUUUUAAUUGGCUACAAUAGGGGGUUAAUGGUUUUAUGGAACAGAAAAACACCAGGAGCAGAACAGAAUUUCAUUAGUAACCAGCAACUGGAAAGCAUUUGUUGGCAUAAAUCAGGAACACGUUUUGCUUCAUCCCAUAAUGAUGGAAGCUAUGCAAUGUGGGACAUUUCUGUGGGUGAUAAAGCUGAAGACCCUGUCACUGUGUAUGGUCCCUUUCCAUGCAAAGCAGUUACAAAGUUCCUCUGGAGACGUGGAAGAAAUGAAGAUUAUAUUAUUUUUGCUGGAGGGAUGCCUCGAGCUAGUUAUAGUGACCGUCACACCGUCACAGUUCAGCAUGGGGAGAAGCAUGUUGUAUUUGACUUCACAUCCAAAGUUAUAGAUUUCUUCACAAUUGCUGCAGAUGAAGAGGAUACAGAGUAUGAUGAGCCUGAGACACUAAUAGUCCUCCUGGAAGAAGAAUUAGUUGCAAUUGAUUUGCUCUCGGAAGACUGGCGAAUGCUGCAAUUGCCAUAUCUUGUUUCACUUCAUGCAAGUGCUGUUACUUGUGCUCAGCAUAUUUCAAAUGUACCAGAAGAUCUUUGGGAAGCCAUUGUGGCUGCAGGAAAGCAGCAGACACUGGAACAUUAUUCUGAAAGGGAGUGGCCAGUUGAUGGUGGUCGUGUUCUCCAAAGUCAGGGAUCUGAGGAGACCUCAUCAACAGAAUUUAACAAAGAGCUGCUGUUAACAGGCCAUGAAGAUGGCACAGUGAGAUUUUGGAAUGCUGGUCAUGUUGCCCUCCAACCGCUUUACAAGUUUGCCUCGGCUCAGCUUUUCAGUAGUGAAGAAAUAGGUAGUGAAGCAAAUAAUGGGACAGUAGAUGAAGAAGAGGAGGAGGAGUGGCCACCGUUUCGGAAGGUUGGAACAUUUGAUCCCUACUCGGAUGAUCCUCGCUUGGCUGUGAAGAAGGUAGCACUGUGUCCAUUUUCUGGCACCCUUGCUGUGGCGGGAACGGCAGGAGCUGUAAUUGUAGCAAAAAUAGGAUCUGAUACAUUGGAAACAGAAGUCAAUGUGACUACAACCAAUAUUGUGCUGGAUCGUGAUGGAUUUGUCUGGAAAGGACACGACCAGUUGACUGCCCGUACUGGUGCCUUGUCUCUGGCACCAGGUUUCCAACCUUGUUCUGUGCUGCAACUGCAUCCUCCUGCGGCAGUUACAGCACUUGUAUUGCAGGCAGACUGGGGCCUUGUGGCUGCUGGAACUGCACACGGCUUGGCACUUUUUGAUUACAUACGCCACAAGGGUGUUCUUACGAAGUGUACUCUGAAUCCCAACGAUCUGUCUGGUGCCGGAGAUGCUCCAAUCUCAAGACGAAAAUCUUUCAAAAAGUCAUUACGUGAAUCCUUCAGACGCCUCAGGAAGGGACGAUCGACGAGACGCACUGAUAAACGAGGAGUUGCAUCACCGGUGCCAAAGAAAGAUGGUGGAGCAGAAGCAUCAACACCAUCCUCAGCACCACUCAGUCCUGUUGAAGCCAAACCAGUGGAACGUCAGGUCGAAGCAAGACCUGUUGACGAUUCUCUAGGAAGCAUGGUUCGGUGUUUAUAUUUUGCAAAGACCUUCAUCAUUAGCGUGCAGUCAGUAACAGCUACACUUUGGGCAGGGACAAACAAUGGUACAGUUUAUGUGUUUACCAUUGCUGUACCAGUGGGACAACGAAGAACAGAAGAAGACGUUACCUGUCAAUUGGGCAAAGAGAUUCAACUUAAACACAGAGCACCAGUGAUAAGUGUGGCUGUCUUAGAUGGCAUUAAUGUUCCACUGCCUGAACCAUUUGAAAUUGAGAAAGGACUUAAAAAACUGCCAGAUACUAGUGGACCUCACAGAGUUGUUAUUUGUUCUGAGGAGCAGUUCAAGAUAUUCACAUUGCCAAGCCUUAAGCCUUUCUGCAAAUUUAAACUUACUGCUCACGAAGGUUCCCGUGUGAGAAGAAUGAGCUUGGCACAUUUUGUAACUUCAAGGCCAGAUCGUGGUGCACAGUACUCAGAAUGGUGCAUAGUGAGUCUCACCAAUCUGGGGGACUGCAUAGUUCUCAGUGUUCCUGACUUAAGAAGGCAGCUCAAUGCCGCUGUUGUUCGACGAGAAGAUAUUAAUGGAAUAUCAAGUCUGACAUUCACACGGUACGGAGAAGCAUUUUAUUUACACUCCUCCAGCGAGCUUCAGAGGAUAACACUAUCCGCUUCAACACUGUUAUAUCCACGGUGCCGCAUUGAUUUGCCAGAAGGAGCCAGACAGAUACCAAAAGAGGAGGAGACGGAAGAGGAAGAAAUGGAAGUAGCAGAGGAAGAAGAAGCAGAAAAUGCAAGUCCAUCAGCUGCUGCUAGAGAUCACCCACCUGCAUCACAUACAGUGAAUGGAGAUGCUACUCACGAGGAGAACAAAGAUGUAGAACCAAAAUCAGAAGAUGGAGAAGAAGCAAAGGAAAAUGGUGCAGAAGAAGACAGAAAUGACAUCAGUGCCCUCAGUGUUGGUGAUAUCACUAUAGAUUCUGUCAAGGAUCAUUUGCUAGUUGAAAACGGAGAGGCUGGAGCUGAACUCCCGGACAACAGAGAUGCAGUCAGUUGUGAUGAAGACCACCAUCAUCAGCAGUAGUGAAACAACGGUCAUCAACUCUGCUGACAUAGCCGUUGUUGAGCCUUCUCUGGCCGAUGAGCAGCGUGCUACCAACACUCUUGAGAUUAAAUCACGCAAAGCCCCAUUAGCAAGAAUGGAAGAUUUAGAAGUGGAAAUUCCAGUUCAGUCUUAAGUGUC
rnacentral:misc_RNA from 1 species